UUUGGUUGAAAAUAACCACUGGCUUUGACUGUGACCGUGAGUGAUAUUUGGCAAGCAGAGCCACCAGGAUUCAUAGCCCAUUGGUCACUGCCUUUGAGGUGGGGGUGAAACCCAGGCCUUCACAGGU
rnacentral:snoRNA from 1 species